AGUAAAGGGGAGCCCAUAGAUGCGGUGAAGGUCACGCUCUCUUCUCCGGCCGUUCACCGAGGGCCGGCGUGAGGAGGGGGCUGCCUGCGCUGUGGAAGCCUCUCAGUCCCGGCCGCGGGACAGCGGAGCGCAGGCGGAACCAGCUUCUUCUGGGGAGGAGGGUGCCUGGGGUAAGAGGCUCAGAGACCAUCCAGACAUCACUGCAACCAUGAUCUCACCAGGCAUGAACUCCACAAUGCUCCAUUUAAUGGAUGUUAUUUGGGUUGAAAGAGAGAAGAAAUGCAUGAAGAAUAGGAGGCUGACAGAAAAGGAAUGGGAAGAAAGUGCAGUCCUUCCCUGAACGGCAGCCAGGACCUCAUAGCUGGCACUGGGGAACUGCUGUCUGCAGUCCAUGCCUUCCCUUCACAGGGAGCUCUGCUGGCCUGGCCACAGGCUCAAAACUGACUGACAGGCUGCACAGGAAAGAACCACGAGGAGCUCGCUCCAUCUGCUGAGAAAGCAGGUCUGCCUUCAGCUGCUUAUGCAGGUGCUUGGAGGACUGUGACUGGUUGCAAGUUUGGGCACCCGUCCUUGCCACAGGCUGGGCUGUGCUCACUCAUGGACUCUGCUUACAGGACCAUGAGGUUUUCUGUCCUCAACUCCUUGGUGAAAACAGGCUUUGUGGAAUAGCUGGGAGGUGAAAGCACAGAACUUGCCUAUUAGCUAUAUCUUUGAUUUAUUCCAAAACUUUCUUCCUCAGGUUCAGUGGAAGGAGGUGUGGAGGAAGUCUGAAGCAAGGAGGGAAGUGGAAUGCCAGGCAUGGGAGGCCUGGAGCAUGCAGCCAGUCCUAGUCCUGCUGCCCUGGGAAUGCUCUGUAGUGCCUGCAUGCCAGGCAAGAGGGAGUGACUUCAAAGCACAUCUUUAUUAGGGUACACUGCUUAGCAUCAAAGAAAUGUCAGGGCUGCUCUACACUGACUCUCUGCCUGCGGCACUUAACCAGCCUGUCAUUCAGAAGUCUGAGUACAAACCACAGCUGCUGACAGAGUCCUGGAAAAAUUUAUUUUUCCACAUCUAAUUGCCCUUUUUGCUUUGUAAACAUAAAGGUUGAAGCUUAAACUCUGACAGCUCUAGUAGCCUUUUGCUUAACUCCUUAAAAAAAAAGACAUUCGGCAUGUUAAAUUUUGCUUUUACUGCAGCCUGAAAUCUCACAAAAUCUGCACAAUGUUUUUUUUAAAGAUCAUUGAAGCAUUUCAGUACUCACUUUGGGAAAAACCCUUCAGCUCAAAAAAAGACAAAAGCUGGUGCCUGAAGAGCCAAGACCUUUCCCCAUAGCAAUUCAGGAUAAAAAUGCUUGACCAAAAGAGGCACAGCAAGCAAUCGGCAUUCCACCUUUCCCUGGGAGCAGGUUAAAGAAUGCCUAUCUGCUCUUGUUAUUGUUCCAGAAAGAAAUGAAAGACCAAAGACAGGAGAAAAAGAAAAACAACUGUUAAAAAGCAAAAGUAGAUGUAUCAUAGCAGCCUGAAAACUUCCAAUUCAGUUUUUUCAGUGACAUGGGUUCUCUGCCCUGGAGGAGGGUCUCCUGAUGUGGGGGGAUGCACCAUUCCCCAGACUCUGCACUGCCUCCUCUAAGAGCAUUGUGCCUGCAGGAGCCUCCUCUGGGUGAAGGCUUUGAGCUGCUCCUGCUGCAGUCCUUCACCAUUAGAGAUGCACGUCCUGAAUCACCUCAACCACAGAGAAGUGACUUUGUAGCCACAGCUAUUGAAGAACGAUCCUCUGUUUUUCUGGGAGGUGCUGCCCAUUCCCUCCAUCUGACAUGAAAACAGGGUCGUUGCAUCACCAUUGCUGUCUCUGCAGAGACCCUCCUGGCCUGGGCUCUGCUUCCAUCUGCCCACAGGAGAUGAGGACCAGACUGCCCUGCCCCCAGCCUCCAAACCUGCAUGGCACAGACACUGUGCUCGUCCCUGUCCCUGCAGCCAGCCUGGCCUGCACCCAGCUGCCCCUGGUUUAUGGAUCUGUGUCUGUGAACAAGUGACAGGGUGGUCAGCAUUGUCCUGAGUGGCAGAUUCUCCCUAAGUGGCAGCUCCAAUGGGCUGUGGGGCUGAGCUGGGGAAAGAGGGACUUUUCCUUCCUGUCCUCCCUGGUACUCUUUCCCUUUUGCUGUGAUCCAUGAGGGUGUUCAGUGUUCCUGGAGUUAGCCAUUCAUCUUACUCAAAUGCAACUUGCUUUCUGUUUCCCUAAGUACUGGGUGUAUUGACUGUGUCUUGGCCAAGAUCAGCGCACAGGAUUCAUGUUUACUUGUGGAAGGCUGUAGGUGUGAUCCGACACCAUGUGUUUUAUGGCACCUGUGUUGCUGCACUACCUUGAAUGCUGAAGCUGUCUGAAACUAAGCUGUUUUGGAAACAAUUAAAGCUUCUUACAUACACAACAGAAAUGCAAAAAAAUCCUCAAAAUACCUUUUAAGCAAGUAGUUUGAUUCAAACUGCAAGCUUGACAUGAAAAGUGGAGGAGACAUUUCAGGACAAUCUAUGUCUGUUACAGAUCCCAGAUGCCAUCAAUAAGGAAACAACAAUGAUGGACAAAUUCUACAUUUCCUGUGCAGAGCUGAGCGGAGGCAAGACUGUGCUUUGUGCUGCUCAAGGAAUAGCUGUCAUACCAUUACAGCAAAUAAUGGCUCUUGUUAAGUUUCUCACCUUUUUUAUCUUCCAGUUUGCCCAAAAUUAAAUUUCAUUUUGUUUAGGCGCAGCUUUCAAAAAGGCAUUGAAAGAUGACAGUUUUUCAGCAGGCCAGGUCCAGAGAAUGGAAUGGAGCUGGGGAAUGGGCUGGAGAACGAGUCUGAGGAGCAGCUGAGGGAGCUGGGCGAGCUCAGCCUGGAGAAAAGGAGGUUCAGGGGGGACCUUCUUGCUCUGCACAACUCUUGACAGGAGUUGGGCUCUUCUCCCAGGUAACAAGUGACAGGACAAGAGAAAAUGGCCUCAAGUUGUACCAGGGGAGGUUUAGAUGGGAAUAGGAAAUUCAGAAAAAUUUCUUUCCAGAGAGGGUUUUUCACCUCCUGACAGUGGUGAGUCAACAUCCCUGGAGGGAUUCAAAAGAUGUAUGGAUGUGGCACUUGGGGACAAGGGUUAGUGAUGAUCUUGGCAGUGCAAGGGGAAUGGUUGGACCUGAGGGUCUUAGAGGGCUUUCCCAACCUCAAUGAUUCUGUGACUCUGUGACCUCAAGCAGGCUGUCACAGUAACUAGUAGUAGUGUAUUUUUCCUUGGCAUUCACUAUUUAGCCUCGUUAGGAAGCGACAAAUUCAUUACAGAGUUAAGUCUUUUCACAGAGAACUGUCCUGGGGUCAGUUCCCCAGUAUAUCUGGAGUAGCUACACCCACAAUGGCUGUGGAUGAUCACAUGCUCCUGGGAUAACAAGGUUCUGGAAAGAGAUAAAUGCAGCAAAUGCGUUUGAACAGGGGAUGUUGUCAUGGCUGAACCCCAGCUAAAAACUCAGUCCCACACAACUGUUCGCUCACCCUCCUCCCUCAGAGAGAUGGGAAAGAGAAUCAGAAAAAAGGGUAGUUUUCUGUAGAUUGAAAUAAGAACAGUUCAAUAAUUAAAAUAAAGUAAAACUUUGGUACUACUACCCUGGAGUUCAGUAGAGCUGACUUUGGCCUCUUCAGGGAUCUGCUGUCAAUGUCCUUUUCAUAGAACGUCUUCCAUACAUUCCCGGAGAUUAAGUUUCUCUAUCCAGUGCAUGUUUUAGUUCCUGUCCUCCAGAGUUCACAUGUAGUGCUUGGUUUCCAUCUCUGCUGUUGGCUUUAGUUUUGUUCCUGCAAACAUAUUUUACUACUUCCUGGACAUUGUUUCAUGGAGGAUGUAAAUUUAACCAGAGGUUUUGUCGUGGUUUGACACUGGCCAAGCACCAGGCAGCCACAAAAGCCACUCUCUCUCCCUCCCCUACCACAGGUAGAGCAUAGAGAAAAAAAUUAGGGAAGGGUUUAUGAGUUGAGACAGGGACUGGGAGAAAACUCUUCAAGGGCAAAACAGGCUCAACUUAGAGGUACAAAGUACAGGUGUACAGGUGCAGGUGGAGGAACCUUGUGUGGAUGCUCCCUGGUUAUCACUGGACCACAUCACUCUCCUCUUUCAUUAGCCUUGUUUUAGCUACCCACUCCUGUAUUUCUCCCUCAGUCCAUCAGACAUUUCCUUUCUCUGUUGCAGGGCUCAGCUGAUAGGCAUUUUUGCUCUUCACCAGACAGCGUGUGUUCUUGUCAGCUGCCAGGCAGCUGAUCAUGAUUAGAUUGUAGUUGUGAUAGUGAUUUCCUGUCUUUCAGGCCUGAACAGAUGGUGUGCAGCUCCCAGUCCAAGGCUUGACUUUCAUAGUGCUUCAUGGCUUGGCCAAAUGGCAGUUGUGGAAUCUGUGCAUAUGAAGCCUCUCCAGGAGACCGUUGUAAGGGAAAGGAGCAACUGUGUCCUCUAAGGACCCUGCAGAAUUAUACCCACUUCAGAGGAGUGCUGGGAUGCUUUUGUUUGUUGGAUGCCAUCCUCCAAACUACAGUUGUGUUCCCCACCUUAGAAGUCUAUUGCUGUCUCAGUCUCUCAGUAUCAUAUUUAGGCUUGAUAUUUUAGAGAGUAACUAGUGUUUUAUCCGGUAAGAGAUGCUACUUUUGAAUUUUAUGUUACAGGAUCAAUAAGGACCAAGAAUGGGGCCCCAUAUGAUAGGCCUGAUCAUGGAUUUGCUCCCAGGAUUUCCAGAUUUCCAGAUUUCCUUCUUCCUCCAGCAGUUUUCUAUUCUAACAUAACAGGUUUUCCUAUCUAGCAGCUAUACAGGGUAACCUGAUGUGGGUUCUUCUGUAGAUGUUAUAUUGGGGCUUGCAUCAGUGACAGAAGCUCCCCAUGCCUGAGGACUCUGGUAGUGAUGGAGCUGUCAGGAAGGGGCUCCCCUGCACAGUUCAGCUGACUUGGCAGUAUUCUGACUGCCGUGUGAAGAUCCAUGAAAUGAAUGAUCAUCAAAUGUGGCCACUGCCUGACAAAAAAUAACAUUUCUGCUGCCCCUCAUCCUGUAACCAAACAGCUUCUUCUCAUAAAAUAAUAAGCUUCCAUCUCUUCAUUUAUUGCACUGCAUGGGAACGACUGGCAGCUUGAUCACAUGUGCCAAUUUAUUAACUAAAUCUCAUUUACUAACUGGGAACAAAUUCUUUUUCUUGUAGCUGCUGAAUACAAAUGAGGUUGGGCUUCAGAGCUGCCCAGGUGCCAGGAAGCUUCCUUGGCCCAUUGGUCCCUGUGUCAAUGACAGUUGCACUCUGCCAGUAAAAAACUUGUUUUCUGAUGAGCUCUGCUAGACAUGAGAGGGUUGCUGAGCCCCAGGCUAAGGAAUGCUUACACAGGAGGAAGGCCAGGCUCAGAGGCCUGUCUCUGGUGCUGAGCUGCAAGAGCUCUGCUCUAGUGCAGAAGAACAUAUCCCCAGCACUGGCAAUCAUUUCUUCCAAACUGUGUGCCCUGCCCAAGUGACAGAGAGAGAGGGGCCAGCCUUGGAGCAGGCCCCUUCUAAAGGGCAGCCAUCAGCCGUGGCCUGUGCCCCAUCCUGACACUCAUCUCUGUAGUGACACAGCACUGGAAACAGCGAUGUUCUGAGAGCUGUGGGGGGCACAGCAAGGCUUGCCCCACUAUGCACACUUUUGACAAGGGCCAUCCCGUCCACUGCCUGCCACAGCAGGGGAGCUCCUGUCCUCAGGACAGGCCAAGGGCCAGCCAGGACAGGCAGAGCCCAGGUGGAGACUGAGGGGGAAGGGGCAUCUAUUAGCAGGUUUCCCUGCAGGGCUUGAUAGGUUGCCCAGGCUGCUCACUUUUCUGAGAUCUUCCUCUAGCUCUCCCACAGGUAAUUUUCCCUGGGUACACCCUCUUGGCUCAGCAUUUCCAGUUGCUCCCUGGGGGAGCAUCUUGGACACCCACUGCACCCAGUGGUCGUGUGCCUACAUGCAGUUCCCAAACACUGGCUAAAGUGACCUUCCUAAAACAGCCUGGCACUCACUCCUCAGGACAGGAUCACUGUGCUAGCACUCACUCUCUGCCAGGAGACCCUCUCUGUGCAGAAUUUGGUGGUGCCUUUCAACAGAGGCUUUGGCAAACAGUCAGGUUGAGUUUUGAAAUCUCUGGGAAGGGCCAGUCUGUGAUGAGUGUUUGCUUCUUCUUCAUACCUGCCUCCAGGUUUAAUGGUUUUUCCCAAGAAGGAAAAAUAACAAAAAAGAUAAUUCUCUUAAAACUGUUUCUCUGAGAGCCCAGGUUGUCAAGCUUUAUGCUGCUAGAUAAAUCAAACUAACUAACUGAGUUAAUUUGUCUGACCAUAAAGUGGAUUCAAUAAGUGUAAAACAAAACUAAUCGGUUUGCUUCCAUACAAAUUUAAUCAUACUAUAAAAUGUGAUCAAUGCAAAUAAAAAGCAUUGAGUAGGUUGAUUAUCAAGAAUCUAUAAAGGAAAAAAAUGUAUGUUCUUUCAGGAAUUGAAAACUGUGUGGGUUUCCAUCUCUGUACUGAUCAUCCCAUGAUGUAGACCCAGUCCAAAUGUGCUGUGCAGGCAGGGGCUGUGGAAAGGAUCUUGAGAGGAAGCACUCAGCUUUCAGCGAGCUGCAGCACUCUCAUAGAGGCCUCUGAGAUCUCAGGAGGGACAGGAGGGCAGGGGUCAGUUCCCUGUGAGUCCCUGAGCCAGGCACAGUCCCUGUCCUGCUCAGGAAGGAGGAGCAGAGAGGAGCACUGCAGAGUCACAGUGGGUGCCCUGACCAGAGGUGACAGUCGUGUUGGUUUGUCUGCUACUGCCCCAGCAUCAGCUCCUGCCCCUGAGCUUCUGGGAGAAGCACAGCUGGGAGAAACACAGCUGGGAGCCUCUUGCUGUGUCAGGCACCCUGGAGAGCUUGAUUCCCCUCACUCCUUUCUCCCAUCUCCCCACAUUUUGAGGUUAAGUUCUAGUAUCUCAUAAAAUAUGGUCAUAUCAUAAUUUGAGCCUGCAGAAAGUCCUUUCCAUGCAAGGGCUAGGAUCCAUACAAAUUGCCCUGUUCUGUAUCUCCUACUGCGAUAAGGAAACUUGAGAUGCUGACAGUUUCUUUGAUAAACACCUAAUAUAGCUUAAAUAAUUAUUUAAUGCAGACAAAUA